rnacentral:lncRNA from 1 species
CGGGUGGGGGCUGCUCUGCAGGACACUCUUGGUAGGCAGCCGCUGGCACUGAAGUCACCUCCUGCCCCACCACGGACACAGAGUCCCAGGUCACAUCCUUCCCAGCUGUGCCCUUGGCCGCAGCCCUUCUGGGUAUCCGUGGGUCUCCACGGGUGCCCCCGUUGACAGCAGGGCUGGGACGAGGAGGGGAUGGAGAACUGGAAGCCACCAGAAUCCUCUAGCCCCGCAACCACCGAGGCCCAGCAGCAGCCACCAUGCUCUGGCUCCACAAAGAGCCAGGACACAUCUGCCUCCUCCCACGCUCCGUUGGCCUGCAGGAAGGUGUCCUCGUCCAGCAGGACCUCCAUGUCCAGUAGGUCCUCUACAUCCAGCGGGAGCACCAAGUGCAGCCAGAAGUCCACAUCCAGGAAGACCUACAAAAAAGCUGCAGGAGAGGAAGAGGCGUGUGAUGAAGGACAGUGCCAACAUUACAGGAGCGCUGCCUCAUGGUGCAUGGUACUGAUGGCCAAGACAUAUCCACCCAGGCAUGUGGUGUGCAGGAAGGACGUGCCAAAGGCAGAUAAAGCAUCACAGACCCCCUGCUCCUUCAAGAUGUUACAGAAGGAAUGGCAGCCAUCGGGCAAGAAGAAGAAGAAGAAGAGGAAGAAGAAAAAUAAUUCCACGAGCAAUGGCCAGGACCAGCCACAGCAGCGAACCUCAAGGGCCAGCAGCGCCAUGGAGAGCUGCUCCCAAGCAUUGCCACACAGAGCCCCCAGCCCCCCCGAGGUGGCUGUCACACUCCAGAAGAGGACGAGCUUGUUCAGCCUGUGCAUGGCCAUGUACGAUGAGGAGGGAGAAGAGCAGGAUGAGGCUGGUCUGGAGCCAGAAGGGAAGCAGGUCAACGUUGGAGAGAUGGAGUUUCACCUACCCCCAGAGGAAAUCCACUUACCAGAGCAGAAUUACCAGGAGGUGCUGGAGGACUUGGCUGUGGAUGAGGACGUGGUCGACAUCCCAGACCCAGACUUUAAUGUGGGCACCAUGGAGGUCCCCUUACCCAGCGAGGAGCUGCAGGAAGCCCCAGGACACACCAGAGAGGACACAGCCUCUGUGGAUAGUCUGUGCUCUUACCUGGCCACGCUGGAGACCUGCUUGAUCCCGGAGCUGCAGGAUGAUCUUGCCAUGGAUGGUAUCACUCUGGCUGCCCUUUCCCUGUCAUUGCCAAGGCCUGAAAUCUCCCUGGAGAGCCAGUCCCUGCAGCUGGCGAGGUGCCCUGCUCCAUUCAAACUUUCCCUUGGCUCUAUCAUAGGGUACAAAGAAGACACCCAGGACCUUGACUCCAUCCCGGGCUCUGUGGUUAGAGAGGUCAACUUCGCCAGCAAGGAGAAUCUGGAAGCCUUAAGAGACAUGGAAGGUAAAGGAAGGUAUCUGAGGUCUUCUGAGGAAGCCUAGGAAGCUCUGGAAACCAACAGAUUAGUUAAAAACCUUCAUGGAGUUAAUCCAUGAAGGUGCUGA